rnacentral:rRNA from 1 species
CCUACGGGUGGCAGCAGUGAGGAAUAUUGGUCAAUGGGCGCAAGCCUGAACCAGCCAAGUCGCGUGAGGGAAGACGGCCCUACGGGUUGUAAACCUCUUUUGCCGGGGAGCAAGCCUGAGCACGUGUGCCCAGGCGGAGAGUACCCGGAGAAAAAGCAUCGGCUAACUCCGUGCCAGCAGCCGCGGUAAUACGGAGGAUGCGAGCGUUAUCCGGAUUUAUUGGGUUUAAAGGGUGCGCAGGCGGGCUGUUAAGCCGGCGGUAAAAAUUCAGGGCUCAACCUUGUCGAGCCGUCGGAACUGGCAGUCUUGAGUGGGCGAGAAGUAUGCGGAAUGCGUGGUGUAGCGGUGAAAUGCAUAGAUAUCACGCAGAACGCCGAGUGCGAAGGCAGCUUACCAAGCUACUUCUGACGUUGAGGCACGAAAGCGUGGGGAGCAAACAGGAUUAGAUACCCCUGUAGUC